rnacentral:rRNA from 1 species
GGUGAGUAAUGUCUGGGAAACUGCCUGAUGGAGGGGGAUAACUACUGGAAACGGUAGCUAAUACCGCAUAAUGUCGCAAGACCAAAGAGGGGACCUUCGGGCCUCUUGCCAUCAGAUGUGCCCAGAUGGGAUUAGCUUGUUGGUGGGGUAACGGCUCACCAAGGCGACGAUCCCUAGCUGGUCUGAGAGGAUGACCAGCCACACUGGAACUGAGACACGGUCCAG